AAGUCGUAACAAGGUUUCCGUAGGUGAACCUGCGGAAGGAUCAUUAAAUUUCGGUAGUUUACUACCGUUUGAAGGGGGUGGAAACCUUGAAAGAGGGAGUACAUUCUGUUCUUAACCCUUGACUUUUUGCGUACUCAUGUUUCCUCGGUAGGCUUGCCUGCCGAUUGGACAAUCAAUAACCUUUUUACUUUUUAAUCAGCGUCUGAUCAAUUUUAAUAAUUACAA
rnacentral:misc_RNA from 1 species